rnacentral:rRNA from 1 species
GACGAACGCUGGCGGCGUGCUUAACACAUGCAAGUCGAACGGAAAGGCCCUGCUUUUGUGGGGUGCUCGAGUGGCGAACGGGUGAGUAACACGUGAGUAACCUGCCCUUGACUUUGGGAUAACUUCAGGAAACUGGGGCUAAUACCGGAUAGGAGCUCCUGCUGCAUGGUGGGGGUUGGAAAGUUUCGGCGGUUGGGGAUGGACUCGCGGCUUAUCAGCUUGUUGGUGGGGUAGUGGCUUACCAAGGCUUUGACGGGUAGCCGGCCUGAGAGGGUGACCGGCCACAUUGGGACUGAGAUACGGCCCAGACUCCUACGGGAGGCAGCAGUGGGGAAUAUUGCACAAUGGGCGGAAGCCUGAUGCAGCAACGCCGCGUGCGGGAUGACGGCCUUCGGGUUGUAAACCGCUUUCGCCCGUGACGAAGCGUGAGUGACGGUAAUGGGUAAAGAAGCACCGGCUAACUACGUGCCAGCAGCCGCGGUGAUACGUAGGGUGCGAGCGUUGUCCGGAUUUAUUGGGCGUAAAGGGCUCGUAGGUGGUUGAUCGCGUCGGAAGUGUAAUCUUGGGGCUUAACCCUGAGCGUGCUUUCGAUACGGGUUGACUUGAGGAAGGUAGGGGAGAAUGGAAUUCCUGGUGGAGCGGUGGAAUGCGCAGAUAUCAGGAGGAACACCAGUGGCGAAGGCGGUUCUCUGGGCCUUUCCUGACGCUGAGGAGCGAAAGCGUGGGGAGCGAACAGGCUUAGAUACCCUGGUAGUCCACGCUGUAAACGGUGGGUACUAGGUGUGGGGUCCAUUCCACGGGUUCCGUGCCGUAGCUAACGCUUUAAGUACCCCGCCUGGGGAGUACGGCCGCAAGGCUAAAACUCAAAGGAAUUGACGGGGCCCCGCACAAGCGGCGGAGCAUGCGGAUUAAUUCGAUGCAACGCGUAGAACCUUACCUGGGUUUGACAUGGAUCGGGAGUGCUCAGAGAUGGGUGUGCCUCUUUUGGGGUCGGUUCACAGGUGGUGCAUGGCUGUCGUCAGCUCGUGUCGUGAGAUGUUGGGUUAAGUCCCGCAACGAGCGCAACCCUUGUUCACUGUUGCCAGCACGUUAUGGUGGGGACUCAGUAGAGACCGCCGGGGUCAACUCGGAGGAAGGUGGGGGUGACGUCAAGUCAUCAUGCCCCUUAUGUCCAGGGCUUCACGCAUGCUACAAUGGCUGGUACAGAGAGUGGCGAGCCUGUGAGGGUGAGCGAAUCUCGGAAAGCCGGUCUCAGUUCGGAUUGGGGUCUGCAACUCGACCUCAUGAAGUCGGAGUCGCUAGUAAUCGCAGAUCAGCAACGCUGCGGUGAAUACGUUCCCGGGGCU